rnacentral:lncRNA from 1 species
CCCACCCAUCGCCUUUGCCACCCUCGAACGGGCAAAAGAAAGAAAGAGGCAGGCAUUCCUCAGGCCUUAUCUCUCUGGUUCUUUCUGCUACAUUUGACACCUUGGGAUGACUCUCACCUUCUGGAAUCUCUCUACUACCUUGGUUUCAGAAGAGUGAACCCUCUGGAUUAUCACAUGAAGCUACUUCCUGUGAGCAGCCCAGGGAUGGCCAGUCACUUGUGACCUACUUUCAGAGCUGGCAGUUCUGACUUCUAGAACAAACUCGGAACAAGCCCAUCUACAGCUGGUUGACUGAGUUUCCUUUGGGCUCCUGGCACCAGAAAGAAUUGCUCACUGGAAGGAUCAUAGGUGGCACUCAUGUCUCACUGCCCCACUCAGCUUGCCUGUGUGGACUCCUGCCUGCUCUCUGUGCCAGGAUCCCGUGACAUGAAACAGAAUAAGUGCUUCAUAAACGGGAGUGACACUAGGCGUGGUGGCAUGCAUCUGGAGUCCUAGCUACGCGGGAGGCUGAGGCAGGAGGAUUGCCUGAGCCUAGGAGUUGGAGGCUCUAAUGCACUUGGAUAGCACCUAUGAAUAGCCAGUGCCCUCCAACCUGGGCAACAUAGUGAGCUCUUGUCACCAAAAAAAAAAAAAAAAAAGCUAGAAGAGAAUAAUUUGAAUAUUUCUAGCACAAAGAAAAGACAAAUAUUUAAGAUAAUGGAUAGCCCAGUUACACAGAUUUGAUCUUUACAAAUUAUAUGAAUGUAUUAAAUUAUCAUGGCUGGGUGCAGUGGCUCACACUUGUAAUCCCAGCACUUUUGGAGGCUGAGGUGGGUGGAUCAUCUGCGGUCAGGAGUUCCAGACCAGCCUGGCAAACACGGCAAACAUGUACUAAAAAUACAAAAAAUUAGCCAAGUGUGGUGGCAGGCACCUGUAAUCCCAGCAACUCAGGAGGCCGAGGCGGGAGAAUUGCUUGAACCUGGGAGGCAGAGUGCUUGCAGUGAGCCGAGACCGCACCACUGCUUUGUAGCCUGGGCAACAGAGUGAGAUGCCAUUUCAAUAAUAAUAAUAAACUAUCACAUGUAACCCCCAAAUAUGUACAUCAUUGUGUAUCAAUAAAAAUAAAUAAAUGUGAAUAAAUGACUGAGAGUAUGAAUAAUGCCAUCCCUCCAGCGCCCUUGCACUGUGGUUCUCCAGCACCUGCUACUUAGGUUUCUUCAGAUACCAGCUGCUCUGGGAGCUAUACCUUGUUUCAGGAUCUCAGUCACUGCCUUCAGCAGCCCACUAUCUGAUCCAAGCAGCCAUGGAUUCUCUUUUGUAUCCAGUCACUCCUGUACCCUCUUCCCUUUUAGGUUUUGCUACUGUCUUCAAACUUGCUUUGAAGAUUUGAGCUCCUGUGUCACCAGGUCACCCUCAGAGGCAUCAGGACAUGCUCUUCAAGUAAAGUCCAAAUGAGGGAUUAGACACUCUGGGCUUCAUUUCUCAGUGUCCUCUCUCAAGAGCUAGACUAUUACUUGCAUUUCUCAUCUCCUUGAAUCAUCAGCGCCUGGUGCUAUCAUUUAAAAUAGGGAAAGUUAUGAACUGGGUUAAAUUUUUUUUUUUUUU